rnacentral:sRNA from 1 species
ACCUGAAAUACUAUUCUUGUGACGCAGGGGGGUGUCU